AAAAGACGCAUCUCCGUGAAAUCCUCAAACAACAGAAACAAUUAAAAAAAUAAAAAGAAAAAUCGCCAGCAUGCCGGAGCCGAUUGACAGCGAGCCUCAGUCGUAAGCCGGCUCUCACUGUCAUAAACGAAACGCGUAGCCUUGACUGUACACCACAUAACAAUUUUUUAAUCCACAAUAUUAUUCUAUAAUUAAAAAAGAAAAGGAAAAUUACCAAUUUUUAUAUAUAUAAAUCCAGAAAAAGCCGGCCUGAAAGGGUUCAGUGCUUCG
rnacentral:misc_RNA from 1 species